rnacentral:rRNA from 1 species
GCAGCCGCGGUAAUACGGAGGAUGCGAGCGUUAUCCGGAUUUAUUGGGUUUAAAGGGAGCGUAGGUGGUCUGUUAAGCCAGCUGUGAAAUACUGUAGCUCAACUACAGCCGUGCAUUUGGAACUGGCAGACUUGAGUGCACUAGAGGAAGGUGGAAUUCAUGGUGUAGCGGUGAAAUGUUUAGAUAUCAUGAAGAACUCCGAUUGCGAAGGCAGCCUUCUGGAGUGUAACUGACACUGAGGCUCGAAAGUGUGGGUAUCGAACAGGAUUAGAUACCCC